rnacentral:rRNA from 1 species
AGUGAACGCUGGCGGUAGGCCUAACACAUGCAAGUCGAACGGCAGCACAGUAAGAGCUUGCUCUUACGGGUGGCGAGUGGCGGGCGGGUGAGGAAUGCAUCGGAAUCUACUUUUUCGUGGGGGAUAACGUAGGGAAACUUACUCUAAUACCGCAUACGACCUACGGGGGAAAGCAGGGGAUCGUCUGACCUGGCGCGGUUGGAUGAGCCGAUGUCGGAUUAGCUAGUUGGCGGGGUAAAGGCCCACCAAGGCGACGAUCCGUAGCUGGUCUGAGAGGAUGGUCAGCCACACUGGAACUGGGACACGGUCCAGACUCCUACGGGAGGCCGCAGUGGGGAAUAGUGGACAAUGGGCGCAAGCCUGAUACAGCCAUACCGAGUGGGUGAAGAAGGCCUUCGGGUCGUAAAGCCCUUUUGUUGGGAAAGAACCGCAGCAGGUUAAUACCCUGCUGGUCUGACGGUACCCAAAGAAUAAGCACCGGCUAACUUCGUG